rnacentral:lncRNA from 1 species
CUGUAGUCACCAGUUUGGUGUCUAGAGGCAGGAAGGCAAACGAAAAUUUCACAUUGUUUGAUAAGUUCUUCAUCGCAGGCUCUACUAAAAAGGUGGAGCUCUGCAUCAGGAGAAUUGUUUCUAUCUUUUUUUUUUUCCAAUAUGGACACGACUAAGGAAGAAGAUGUAGGAGAAGAAAAUUGAACCGUAGUUUGCCAAGGUGCUGCGGUUAUCCGACGAGGGUGGAAAAGAACGAAACGAUAUCUGACCUUGUUCAAUGACAUUUUGGUGGUAACCAGUAAACUAGAAGCAGUUAUGGUGCUGAAGAGAUGGCUCAGUGGUUAAGAGUACAGACUGCCAUUGUAGAGGAUCGAGACCUGAGUCCCAGCACCCACAUUGGAAGGUUCACAGCUGCUUCUAACUCCAGCUCCAGG